UACGAAGGGGGCUAGCGUUGCUCGGAAUCAUUGGGCGUAAAGGGUGCGUAGGUGGCGCCGUAAGUCGGGUGUGAAAUUUCGGAGCUUAACUCCGAAACUGCAUUCGAUACUGCGGUGCUUGAGGACUGGAGAGGAGACUGGAAUUCAUGGUGUAGCAGUGAAAUGCGUAGAGAUCAUGAGGAAGACCAGUGGCGAAGGCGGGUCUCUGGACAGUUCCUGACACUGAGGCACGAAGGCCAGGGGAGCAAACGGG
rnacentral:rRNA from 1 species